rnacentral:rRNA from 1 species
UGGGGAAUAUUGCGCAAUGGGGGAAACCCUGACGCAGCAACGCCGCGUGCGGGAUGAAGGCCUUCGGGUUGUAAACCGCUUUCAGCAGGGAAGAACUUAUGACGGUACCUGCAGAAGAAGCCCCGGCUAACUACGUGCCAGCAGCCGCGGUAAUACGUAGGGGGCGAGCGUUAUCCGGAUUCAUUGGGCGUAAAGCGCGCGCAGGCGGCGCGCCAAGCGGAGCUUCUAACCUUCGGGCUCAACCCGGAGUCGGGCUCCGAACUGGCGCGCUCGAGUGAGGUAGGGGAGGUCGGAAUUCCCGGUGUAGCGGUGGAAUGCGCAGAUAUCGGGAAGAACACCGAUGGCGAAGGCAGACCUCUGGGCCUUAACUGACGCUGAGGCGCGAAAGCUGGGGGAGCGAACAGGAUUAGAUACCC